rnacentral:misc_RNA from 1 species
GCAACGAGCGGUACACACAGUGUUUUUUGUUAUUACAAGAACUUUUGCUUUGGUCUGGACUAGAAAUAGUUUGGGCCAGAGGUUUACUGAACUAAACUUCAAUAUUUAUAUUGAAUUGUUAUUUAUUUAAUUGUCAAUUUGUUGAUUAAAUUCAAAAAAUCUUCAAAACUUUCAACAACGGAUCUCUUGGUUCUCGCAUCGAUGAAGAACGCAGCAAAGAUCAUUACAAUAUUCUUUUUGCAUCGCUUUUUUGCCGGCGAAAAACCUUA